UUGACGGGUUGUUUUGUCCAUGUUUUUACUUCUGUUCGAUUCGUGUUCUAUUCAUGAUGGUUUAAUUGUUUGUUUUCUCUUGUUUUCUUACUUGUUUGAUGUUUUGAUUGUUUGGUUUCUUGAUUGUUGUUUUCUUAUUUUAUCUUGUUUUAUUUGAAUUUUCUUGUUUUCUUCUCUUGAUUGGUGUUUUCUUGUUUGUGUUUUUCUUGUUUGUCUGAAGUGAUGAAUUGAUUUAGAGAGAUUGUUUUCUUUUUCUUUUUUCUUUUUACUUCUGUUUCCCGUUUCUUUUUUCUUGCUUAUUUUGAUUUCUUGAUUAUUAUUUUCUUGUUUGGGUGUUCUUUAUUUUUUGUUUAGUCUUUUUUUUGUUUUUUUUCUUUAUUUUGUUUUUCUUUUGUUUACUUUUGGUUGGUUUUUGUUUUCUUUGUUUUGAUUUGCUUGUGUUGUUUGUAUAUAUUUGUUUACACGUGUUUUUCAUAUUGUUUUUUUUUGUUUAUAUUUGUUUGUAUUGUUUAUAUUUAAUUGUUUACACGUUUUAUCUUUUUUUUGGUUAGAAUUUUGUUUAUUAUUUUUUCUAUUUGUUUAUUUUCGUUUUUAUUUUAGUUACACAUUUCUUUUAUUAAUUUCUUCUUUUCUCUCUUUCUCUCCUUCUCUCUUUCUUUAUUUUUUUUUGUAUUUAAUUAUUCAUUUUUAUUUCCCUUAUUUUCAGUUACAAUUUUUUUUUACUUUUUCUCUUUAAUUAUUUUUGUUUGUUUGUUUUUGGGAUAUUUUUUUGUAUUGGUAAUGAUGGCGGCGGCGGUGGUGGCGGAAGGCCCCCCCCCCCCAAAAAAAAAAAAAAAGAAGUGCUUGAUAAUGAUUAAAAAAAGAGAAAAAAAUCAUGUUCACUUAAAUUGUAUGAACGUUCGUAAAUUUAGUUCACUCAAAUUGUUGAACGUUCGUAAAUUUAGUUCACUCAAAUUGUAUGAACGUUCGUAAAUUUAUUUUUUUUUUUUGGUCAGAAGCGGAAUUAUUAAAGCGUCCUCUAAUAACUAUAAUUAACUAACCUAAUUACCUUUUGUUUAUGUUUAUGCUUGUUGGUAUAAUUGUUUGUUUCCUCCUGUUUUCUGAUUUGUCUGAUAUCUUGAUUGUGUUUCAUAUUCUCCUUCUUCUCUUCUUCUUUUUCCUACUCCUCUUGUUCUUGUUCUUCUUCCUCUUUCUCCUUCUUCUUUCUCUUUUUCUUCUUCGUCUCUGUGUUUUUUCUUGUUUUUUAUUUGUUUCUUUUUUUGUUUGUGGUUUUUUUUUCUCGUUUGAAGUUAAGGGUUGAUUUUAAGGAGUUGUUUUAUCUGUUUUAUUUUUUUAUACUUUUUUGUCCUCCCUGAAUUUUCUUAACCUGGCCCUAAAUUUUUGAAACUAACCAAUUCUUAUGAUAUUAUGAAGCCUAAAGUAAACUGAAUAUCACCUACUACUACUACUACUACUACUACUACUACUACUACUACUACUACUACUACUAUUUUUCUUUGCAGAGUAACGAACGCUGAACAGUCGAAGAGGAAAAGGCAAAAGAAGAAGAAAACGAAAGAGAGAACAGAAGAAGAA